rnacentral:rRNA from 1 species
GAUGAACGCUGGCGGCGUGCCUAAUACAUGCAAGUCGAGCGAACGGACGAGAAGCUUGCUUCUCUGAUGUUAGCGGCGGACGGGUGAGUAACACGUGGAUAACCUACCUAUAAGACUGGGAUAACUUCGGGAAACCGGAGCUAAUACCGGAUAAUAUUUUGAACCGCAUGGUUCAAAAGUGAAAGACGGUCUUGCUGUCACUUAUAGAUGGAUCCGCGCUGCAUUAGCUAGUUGGUAAGGUAACGGCUUACCAAGGCAACGAUGCAUAGCCGACCUGAGAGGGUGAUCGGCCACACUGGAACUGAGACACGGUCCAGACUCCUACGGGAGGCAGCAGUAGGGAAUCUUCCGCAAUGGGCGAAAGCCUGACGGAGCAACGCCGCGUGAGUGAUGAAGGUCUUCGGAUCGUAAAACUCUGUUAUUAGGGAGGAACAUAUGUGUAAGUAACUGUGCACAUCUUGACGGUACCUAAUCAGAAAGCCACGGCUAACUACGCG